AAGUCUGAUGUGAAAGACCUUCGGCUUAACCGGAGAAGUGCAUCGGAAACUGGAUAACUUGAGUGCAGAAGAGGGUAGUGGGAACUCCCAUGUGUAGCGGUGGAAUGCGUAGAUAUAUGGAAGAACACCAGUGGCGAAGGCGGCUACCUGGUCUGCAACUGACGCUGAGACCCGAAAGCAUGGGUAGCGAACAGGAUUAGAUACCCUGGUAG
rnacentral:rRNA from 1 species